AUCUUUUGAAGUAGGAGAGAAAUAAACCUUUUUGUCUAUGCCUUCACUGAGGCACUUUUCUUUCUUUUAUUGUAGGAUCUGAAAGGAGAGAAAAUAUUCAAACAAGAACCGAAACAUCAGAAAACAAAAAACAGAAGUAUCUGCUUUAAUUGGAAGAAUUUUAUGAUAGAACGUUACCACAGAAGAUAAGGAUCAAAACCAGAUCCAUGGGUGAUAAGGCUAACAAAAUACCGAACCUCUGAGCUGAUGGGCGGGAGGCAGUCCUUGGAGAGAAAUGGCUGGCUAUGAUCAGAAGCGUGGUCAGUACUGCUGAAGUCAUAAGGCUUUAACCAGAAGCAUUUCCAUCUUGUGGCAGUCCUUUGUGACGGGUACCACUGCUCCAAGAACUCUUCUGUGUGUGGUGUAAAAAGCGGGGAAACCAGGAAUGGACCCUGGCUUGAAAGGUGUUGGAGGUAGUCACUGGAGCAACAUCACCCAAAAUUUGUGUCCAUUUGAAAUGCUCCGUGUUUGUAAUCGCUGAGCAAGAAUGAGCAGGUAUGACUCUUGAUUCUUAUCAUCUAGCAUUAAAACACAACAAUCACCCCAGCCCACCUCUUAGUAUUCAUUUUACUUAUUAAAGCUUCCCAACAAGUCUCUGCAGUGAUGUUAUCUGCUAAAUUGUGUGAGGUUUCUGAUCAUUAAGUGGAUUGGCCUUCAAAGAGCUGAAUGAAAAUGAGCAAUAAAUAUCAGUGUUACUUAGGUCGUACA
rnacentral:lncRNA from 1 species